UAUUGGACAAUGGGCGAAAGCCUGAUCCAGCCAUGCCGCGUGUGUGAAGAAGGUCUUCGGAUUGUAAAGCACUCUAAGUUGGGAGGAAGGGCAUUAACCUAGUACGUUAGUGUGUUGACGUUACCGACAGAAUAAGCACCGGCUAACUCUGUUCCGGCAGCCGCGGUAAUACAGAGGGUGCAAGCGUUAAUCGGAAUUACUGGGCGUAAAGCGCGCGUAGGUGGUUUGUUAAGUUGGAUGCGAAAGCCCCGGGCUCAACCGGGGAACUGCAUCCAAAACUGGCAAGCUAGAGUACGGUAGAGGGUGGUGGAAUUUCCUGUGUAGCGGUGAAAUGCGUAGAUAUAGGAAGGAACACCAGUGGCGAAGGCGACCACCUGGACUGAUACUGACACUGAGGUGCGAAAGCGUGGGGAGCAAACAGG
rnacentral:rRNA from 1 species